rnacentral:rRNA from 1 species
UACAGAGGGUGCGAGCGUUGUCCGGAAUCACUGGGCGUAAAGGGCGCGUAGGUGGCUUCUUAAGCGUGCGGUGAAGGCCUGGGGCUCAACCCCGGGUCGGCCGUGCGAACUGGGGGCUGGAGCACUGUAGAGGCAGGCGGAAUUCCGGGUGUAGCGGUGGAAUGCGUAGAGAUCCGGAAGAACACCGGUGGCGAAGGCGGCCUGCUGGGCAGUUGCUGACACUGAGGCGCGGACAGCGUGGGGAGCAAACAGG